AUGUUCCACUUCCCUCUUUAUCAGACUUCUCUACUUCCUUUGGUCCUGGUGUUCACCUUCAUUCCCAGUAGCUCUUCAAUCUCACUCUUUCUUCUCUUGGCUCAGAUGCUCUUUCUCUCUCAUAUUUACCCCUUUAGGGUCAAUAACAUUCUGCUUCACUCUAAUUUCUCCUCUUUGACUUGCAAAACUUCCCCUAUUUGCUUCUCUUUCCUUCUUACAUUCUCCAUCUCCUCACUCACUUCAUCUUCCUCCUCUAUAAUUGGUUUCUCUUCCAUAGAAACAGAUUCAUCACUAUUAUCAUUCUCUUCUUCCAAGAUAUCCUCCUCCUCCCCUACUCCUUUCUCAUUCUCUUCAUCAUUCGCCUCUACACUUUCAAAAGGAAUUUCCAUCUCAGCAUUGGUAAUUUCUAUCAAUUUUUCAUCCCCAAUCACUUCCACCACUUUCUCAAUUUGUUCUUCAUUUAUGCUGCCCAUUCUUGAACGCGCCAACUUUUCUCCACUAGUCCCCAGCUUCUCCCUACUGGAUCGCUGCUUCUCUGUACUUGACCGCUGUUUAUCUCCAGUGGAUCUUAACUCCUCUCCACUUGUCCCCAGAUUCUCUCCCCUGGAUCCCCGCCUCUCUCCCCUGGAUCCCCGCCUCUCUGCCCUGGACCCCCGCCUCUCUCUCCUGGGUACUAGCUUCUCUCCACUUGUCCCCAGAUUCUCUACCCUGGAUCCCCGCCUCUCUCCUCUGGAUCCUCGUCUCUCUCCCCUGGAUCCCUGCCUCUCUUCCCUGGAUCCCCGCCUCUCUCCCCUGGAUCCUCGCCUCUCUCCCCUGGAUCCCCGCCUCUCUUCCCUGGACUCCAGCUUCUCUCCACUCGAAUUCAGCUUCUCUCCACUCGAAUUCAGCUUCUCUCCACUCGAUUUCAGCUUCUCUCCACUCGAUUUCAGCUUCUCUCCACUCGAUCUCAGCUUCUCUCCACUCGAUCUCAGCUUCUCUCCAUUCGAUCUCAGCUCCUCUCCACUCGAUCUCAGCUCCUCUCCACUCGAUCUCAGCUCCUCUCUACUCGAUCUCAGCUUCUCUCCACUCGAUCUCAGCUUCUCUCCACUCGAUCUCAGCUUCUCUCCACUCGAUCUCAGCUCCUCUCUACUCGAUCUCAGCUUCUCUCCACUGGGACUCAGUUUCUCUCCACUUGACCUCAGUUUCUCUCCACUUGACCUCAGCUCCUCCUCAUUCUGCUUUACUUCGUAUCCUCUGGAUCUCAAGUCCUCUCCACUGGUUUCCACGUCAGUAAACUUCAACUUCUCUUUAAACUCAGGCCCCUUCCGAGAUCCCGCUGCAGUCCCUGCACUCUCAGAUUCAGCCUCUACUCUGUGUCUGAAUUCUUGCUUUCCCCACACCUCUUUUGAGCUGUCUUUCCGCAAACCGGCCGAAACCUGUAGUGCACUUGAUACACUGCGCACUCGUUUCACAUCCAUUCUUUCUGGACUCCGGCCUGACUUUCCUCUUAAGACUGGCUUUUCCACAUCUUCCAGUCUCCAGUUCUCAGACUCAAGCUUCAGGUCCCACGUUUUAGGUUUUUGCGUCUUUCUACCCAGGAGCUCCAUUUUCCUCCCAAUGACGAUGAGCCCAUUCCAGGGCAUCCAUAACUUUUCUCGCAUCGUCUGCGCCCCUCUGCUUCCCGGUUCCAGCUGCGACCGCCCGAAGCUCCCGGCCUGGCCUCGGGCGCCCUGGCAGCGGUCCUUGUCGCGCCCCCUUGCCGCCCUUUGUGGCUUACCCCGCCACUCCCUCCUGUCCCAGAGCGGAUAUCCAAACGGAGCCCCUUUCUCCAAAGACAUUACGCCUCUCCCCGACCCCUAG
ensembl:lncRNA